rnacentral:rRNA from 1 species
CUCGCCUACAUGAAGUCGGAAUCGCUAGUAAUCGCGGAUCAGCAUGCCGCGGUGAAUACGUUCCCGGGCCUUGUACACACCGCCCGUCACACCAUGAGAGUUUGUAACACCCAAAGCCGGUGGGGGUUAACCUUUUGGAGCCAGCCGUCUAAGGUGGGACAGAUGAUUGGGGUGAAGUCGUAACAAGGUACC